UGUUAAUUUUGCUCUUUUUAAGUACAUGAUACAUAAUGCAAAGUUUAAUAAAUAGUUAUAACAGAAGCACACAGGUAGCUACCACACACAUCAAAAAAUAGAAUGUUACCAGCAUCCUAGAAACCCCUAACCUUUUCUCCCUGUCAUUUCCUAAUCACAAUCCCCUUCCUCCUGUCUGCUGUCUUGACUUUUACAUAGUUUUCUUCCAUUACCCCUCUGUUUUAUGACCUCUGUAUGCAUUUUUAAACAGAGUAUUUUAAUUUUGUUUCUUUUUGAACUUCAUGUUAAAGGAAUCAUAGGGUAAGUGUUUUUUAUAUUAACUUUUCGUGUGGCUAUAGUGUAUUCAUUUUUAUUGCUAUAUAGUAUUUCAUUGUAUGUAUGUUUAUGUGUGUGUGUGUGUGUGUGUUACAGUUGAUUGAUCCAUUCUAUGGUUAAUGGUUAAUUGGGUUAUUUACAGUUCAGGUCUAUUAUGAAUAAUGCUUCUGUUUACAGUCAUAUAGAUAGAUAGCUAGGUAGAUAGAUAGAUCCCUAUAUCUCCUUGUGUUCAUGUGCUCACACUUCUCUAGGGCAAGAGUUGGCACACUACAGAACUACAGUCCAUGGACCACAUCCAGCCUACCACCUGUUAUAAAUAAAAGUUUUAUGUGAACACUUCCACAACCAUUCACUUUUGUCUGUGGUUGUUUUUGCACUACAACUGAAGAGUUGAGUAGUUGCUACAGAGACUGGAUGGUCCACAAAGCCUAAAGUAUUUACUCUGGUCCUUUACACAAAAGGCUUACCAAUACCUGGGCUAGGGUAUGUAUUUAAGAUUAGCAUUUUCAAAGCAUAGGAUAAGUGCAUCUUCCACUUGACUGGAUAAUUACAAACUCUAUCCAGACCAAUUGUACCAAUUUUUACUACCACAAGCAGUGUUGAAUAUUUUAUGUUGAUUUACAUCCUUGGAAACAAUUUGUAUUGUCGGACUUUUACACUUUUGCCAAUCUGUUGAGUGUGAUAUUUUGCAUUUCUCUGAUUAAAGUUUAGCACCUUUUCAUGUGUUUAUUGGUCAUUUGAAUUUGCUUUUGUGAAAUGCCUAAUCAAGUACUUUGACCAAUUUUAUAUUGGAUUAUUUCUUUUUUUAUUGAUUUAGAGGAGUUCUUUAUAUAUUCUGUGCAUUAGUUCUUAGUUACCUAUGUAUUUUGCGAAAAGAAAUCUUUACCUACUGUGGCUUGCCAUUUUUACUCUUUGUUUGGUGUCUUCAAUGAGCAGAAAACAACUUUCACAUCAUCAAAAUUAUCAAUCUUUUCUCUCAUGGUUAGUGCUUUUUGUGUCAUGUUUAGGAAAUCUUUUUUUUCUUGAGCCAAUUUCAAGUUCAUGUUUCCAUUAAUAAGAAGUAGAUAUACUUGAACUUUGCACAUGUAAAACCUAAAUGUACCUAUUAGCCAAAAAAAUAUUUUCCUUGUUUACUACAGUUUGAUUUUUAAUGCUCUUUUGGCCUACAUUUUAAAAAUACUUAUAUAGGUAACACCCUGUUUUAGGGGUUUCCAGAGAAACAGAACCAAUAAAAAGGAUGGACAGAUGGGUAGAUUAGAUAGAUAGAUAGAUAGAUAGAUAGAUAGAUAGAUAGAUAGAUAGAUGAGAGGUGAUUUAUUAUGGGAAUUGACUUACAUGAUUAUGGAGGCUGAGAAAUCCCACAGUAGGCCACCUGUAAGUUGAAGAACUAGGGAAGCCAGUAGCUUGGCUCAGUCCUAGUCUGAAUGCCUGAGAACCUGAGUGGCUGCUUAGUACAAGUCCCAGAGUCUGAAAGCCAGAGAACCUGGAGUUGUGAUGUCCAAGGGUAGGAGAGGAUGGGUGUACCAGUUUCAAAAGAGAGAGAGCAGAGAAUUCACCUUUUUUUCUGCCUUUUUGUUGUAUCCGGUCCCUCAGCUGAUUGGAUGGUACCCACACACAUUGGGUGAGGGUGGAUCAUCCUUAUUCGUUUCACUGAUUCAAAUGUCAGUUUCUUUCGGAAACAGCCUCACAGACAUAUCUAGAAAUAAUGCUUUACCAGCGAUCUCAGUAUCUCUUAAUCUAGUCAUGUUGAAACCUAAAAUUAACCAUUAUACAUCUUGAAUCAUGGAAGUCC
rnacentral:lncRNA from 1 species